GGAUAGUUCAGUCGGUAGAGGCUGAGACUCUUAAGCUCAGGGUUGUGGGUUCGAGCCCCGUGUUAGGCA